AGGUGAACCUGCGGAAGGAUCAUUCAUAAUAAGUGUUUUAUGGCACUUUUUAAAUCCAUAUCCACCUUGUGUGCAAUGUCAGUCGAUCUUCUUCAUGGAGAUCGGCCAAACAUCAACCUUAUUUUUUAACUCUUUGUCUGAAAAAUAUUAUGAAUAAACAAUUCAAGAUACAACUUUCAACAACGGAUCUCUUGGCUCUCG
rnacentral:misc_RNA from 1 species